rnacentral:lncRNA from 1 species
AGUGUUCAUAAAGGAAGAACUUCCACAUUGCACUCCAUUUGAGGAUAUAGAAAAAGAGACUCAGGUAGGAAUGUAGCUCAGCAGUUGGAAAACAAAUAGGCAAACAAGGACAAGCAGUGCCUUUUCUCAAUCAAUGGGAUCCUGGUGGUGUCAACUACACAUCAACUCCCCCGAACUCCCCACAUCAGUCCAAGGCUGGGCAUAAUACCCAAGUUUAGCCAAUCAGGCACUCCUCCGGGAACUUGGAAGGAAAAUCGUUAGAAUAGGUUAUCUUGAUUACAAUAAGACUCCUCAUCAAAUUCUUCAUCAAAUUCUUCAUAAAACUCUUCAUAAAAUUGAGAUUCUUCAUAAAAGUCUGAUACUGCACUGCCUAGAAAUGACCUUUUCCUGUCCAUCCUUGGGGCCUAGGAUAGACAGCAAAAAACAAGAGUCCUUCUUUUAUACUCUCUUUUCUUUGUUAUUGUAGGUCAAGUCAGGUUCUCUUUCUUUCAAUCCAAAUACGAACACUAACAAUACAAAGGAGGACCCACUUCUGAUGGAGACUUCAACAGGAUUCCCUGGUAAGCAUUUUCAAUACCUGAAAAGGUUUAGUAGUUCUUUUUUAAUCUGCACACACCUCAAAUAUUUAAUACAUGGUGACUUGAUUUUUAAGUUUCAGUUGUUUAAAUAAUAUAUUUUUUAUGUAUCNUUUUUUUUUUUUUUUUUUUUUUUUUUUUUUUUUAGGCUUGUACCUGUGGUGGCAUAGGGAAGUUCCUAAGCUAGGGGUCGAAUCAGAGCUGCAUCUGCAACCUACACCACAGCUCACAGCAAUGCUGGAUACUUAACACACUGAGCAAGGCCAGGGAUCAAACCCACAUCCUCAUGGAUACUAAAAAGUAAGGAAAAACAGAAGUGAGUGUUUUAACACUAAGCUAUUAUUACCUUCAUGAGUCAACAUUUUAAAACUUUCUCCUACAUUAAAAUCAUUUAUACAGGGAGCUAUAUCUAGUCAUUUGUGAUGGAGCAUGAUGGAGGAUAAUGUGAGAAAAAGAAUGUGUAUAUAUAUAUAAAUAUGUGUGUGUGUGUGUGUGUGUGUGUGCGCGACUGGGUCAUUUGCUGUACAGUAGAAAAUUGACAGAAUGCUGUAAACCAACUAUAAAGGAAAUAAUAAAAAAGCAUUAAAAAUAAUAAAAUAAAAUAAUUUAUAGCCUAUUUAUUUUCCUCUAUCUUUACAAAUUAUUAACUACUUAUUUUUCAGAGUAUACCAGUUAUUCAGCAAAAAUAUUAGUAACCCUGAAGUGUUUCUGUAACUUUUCAAACUUCCUCCUAUCAAUCACAUUCUCAUCCACAUUAAAUAUAUCAGGAGGACCAGACUUAUAUGACCACUUGCUACUUUUGGCUCAUAAUGCCUCAGGCUUGAGCAAUGAACAUGGGAAAACAUGGCAUUAGAAGAUAGGAACCAGGAUCCAGGGGAAUUACUGCACAAAACAAAUUGCACAAGGUCAUACGACACAACCGAUGUCCAUCUGUGUCAGAUCCAGGUUUAGUAUCCCAGCCUCUGUUUCAUUUGUGGUGCUGUCAACUUCCCAAGUACCAGGAAAGGAAUGGUGGAAGGUGUUAAUUAGGGUGCUGAUUUCUGCUGCUUCAAAGAAAAUUAUAAACACUCUAAGGCUCAUAUAAUAAAGAAAAAAUUAUGGCUCUUGAAGCACAAUGUAAGCCAGACAAGAGUCUACCCAGUCUGGAAGGAAUCUAUAUCUUUUUCGUGCUUUUGACAAUUAAAAAGCAGGGUGUAAAAAUGAAAAACUUUUUUCUAAAAAAUCUGUCUUCAGGAAACAUAAAGGAAAUAAAACAUGAGGACAUAAAGAAUAUAAAUGUGUUUUAUAUUGCUAGGCAUUCAAAAAUAUUUUUCCAAAGAUAACAGAAGACUUCAUAAAUUUCAAGAGAAUCCCAUAUACAACAAAGCUUCUAGGUAUGGUUCAUAUCCCAUGCACUCUAAAAACAGUAACCUAUUCCUGAAUUAUAAGAGAAAUGAACUGAUAUAGGACAAGAUGGUCAUGGGGUGAUUUGUUCUUGAGCAAAGUAAGAGCUAUUACCUCUAAUAAAAUUUCAUUCCUACUUGUAAAUCUACACACCCCACGUGUCAACUUGAUACAACAAUGGCAAUGGCCGGUGGGGCUGUUACUGGUUAUUUUCGGGAAAACAGAACAAUUUUAAAGGCACCCUCUAGCAUGGGAACAAAGAUAAGAAAUAAAAAUUAGUUGCUGUAAAAAAGUCUUGAUAAAAUUACGUGACAGAAGAACAAAGGUUUCUCUGAAAAAUAAGAAUAAUGGCAAUGAGGUGUGUGUGUUUGUGUGUAUGUGUGUGCUGUGUUGUGUGUUCUCUAAUAAAACUCUGAAGAAAAAAGGGCAUGAUGGGUGAAUGUGUUCAGCGUGCUGUUUAGUGACUUCCACAACAGUCUGUAGUUGAAGAUAGCCAUUGGAAUAGCCAUUGGAAAACAUUUAUAAAAGUAAUACAUAAAUCUCAAUUACCAAACAAGUGAUUAACAUACGUUUACAUCAUAGAUAUAUUUUUAUCAUUUAAUUUCUUUGAUUGGAAUAAAGGAGCUCAUUUUAAAACAACCUACAAUUCGAUUAAGUUUCCAAAUAACAUUUUCCUUUCAUCACUGGGGCAGAAGAAACUCAAAAAUUAAACUUA